CUCAGGGUCUUUAAAACGCGGGUUCCUCCUGGUGCUGCUGCCGGGUCUCCAUCCCCGCGGAGCCGAGGGAGCGCACGGUGCACAGACACACAACGACACGUCCCGAAAUCAGCGGAAUGGUUCCUGGAGGAGGAGGAGGAUUCCCAGCUGAGGUCUCCAACCGCCACCCGAUCGGUCGGAUGCGACCCGUGAAAUCAAGGAAGCGAGACGAAGAGACGAGCAGGCCGGUAACCUGCUGCAGAGAACAGCCGCGGUACACACAUCAAAAUAAGGAAGCUGGCAGUGAACCAGACUGCUGAGAACACUCCCACCCCGACACAGCCGCCUUAAAGAGGAACAGCACUCUGCCUGACAGUUUACAUCAUGUUCCCCCCCGCGGCAGCCCGGCCCGAGUCCAACCCGCCUCCUGCUAUUUAUGGAAAGAAGUUUAUUCUCCUAUGAAUUCACAGUUACAUCCUGGAAAAUCUAAGCACAUUUUCACUGACGUGUCUAACGGCAGCACAUGUGGCGCCUUCUGUUGUUCGUCCUGACGUGUCUCCAACAAACACCUUCACUCACGUUGCCCCUGCAUGUUGUUGUGUACAAGGGAAUUAUGAUUUUUUUAACAGCCACAAGAGAAAUCAGCUCUCAGAACUGUCCAGAUGUCAAACCAUAACUUCCCCUCCAGCGAGUCUCACCACCCCGUGAAGUGUUGUUCAUGCUGGAUUGUUUUUGUGUCCAACUGACGAACAGUUUUUCCUCUCGGAGCGAGAGAAAACCAGAGCUGGUGACUGCUGGAACAGCAGAGAGACAGUUUUAUUUAGUUUUUCAUAUGAGCUAUGAUGAGGCUCUUAUUCUUUAUGGCUUUAUUUUGAUAGGACAGCUCAGAGAUGACAGGAAAUGACAGGGCCACAGGUUGGACUCGAACCCUGGACCGCUGCAGCGAGGACCACCGAGUCUUUGUGCAUGUGAUGUGCACGCCACCAGCCGAGCUGCCAGGACGGCCCGGAUCUGAUCCUGUCCGUGAGCAGCACUCCCUGUUCUCUCAUGUAGAGUAAAGAAGCUGCGUCACCAGUGAGACAAAAACAAAAAAACACGAGCUGCCAUCACAAACAUUUACCUUACAGCAUGAUGACAAGUCUGGGCCAGAUCCAGCCCGCCAGAGUAGAACGAGCUGUGGCCGAGUUCUGUGUCGGUUCUGGUCUGUUCAGUUUGCUCUCAGCUCAGAUCUGGAGGAGCGGACGGCCCAGGUGCUGGUCUGGUGCGACGCAGAUCUGUGCCACAGCGUUUUUACUAUUUGGAUCUAGCUUCCUGUUUCGCAACAGGAAAUGCUCGGGGUCUUCAACGAGACGACAUCAAGGUAAAGUCUUCAGUCUUCAGAGUGGUUUCACAUGCGUCUGUUCAAGUCGGAACAGCAACACAGAAGCUCUGUGGAAAUGUUAACACACGACUCGCUGACAUUGACCUUUUGCAUAAACAUGGCGGACGAACGUAAAUGUAAACGUAAACUUUGAUUAGUUAGAAAAGUUAUUUAUCAGCAUUAACUCAAGUCGGGUGAAGCUGUAUUUUAGGGGUUUUAGGGAAACAACAAAUCUGAGACACAGAUCAACAUUUUGUUUAAAUGCUCUGAGAGAUAAAAUAUGACACAUCUUCUUUGUAGCGUCCAUCUUGUUCCCACAUCACAACUUAAAAGCUCAUGAACACACCGACGUCAGAGGAACGACUCAGGAAUCCUGGAUCAGACUUCAGACAUCCACCUGAAAACGACGUCCUGACAUGCUGUGUGUGAAACAUGAGUCUGUAUCAAACAAAACCAUCGUGUCACCGUCUUCAUAUCUGACACAACAGACCAACCAGACGGCAGCGAGCUUCAUGUGUCGAAACAACCAACGCUGCAGUGAAUCAGCAUCACAGCAGCACACGGUGACAAACUACCAGUUCUGUUUGUCUCCACUUAUCAGAGCGAAUAUCACAGCGAGCUUCAGACUGACGCUCAUCGUUGCUCAAUCAGGAUCUGCAGCUACAGAUAUGACUGUGUGAAAACAGGAGACGCUGCUGGUCUCAUGAACUUAUUGACACCAGACCGAGUCUUCAGUUGGCAGAACUAUUCGUGUAGAGUUGCAGCUUGAACCAGAACUGGUGCUGAUUUUUCACAACUCCAUUUUUUUUUUCAUGUACUUGCAGAAAAAGUCUCUCGUGUGGUGAAAUCAACAUAUUAGUAGAAAUAUAAAGUUAGAAGGUGACUUUGAGGUGGAGGACACACAUUUAAAAAUAAAGAAAAGAAAAAGAAAUACUGGAGAUCCGAGUGUAGAGAACAUGUUGAGCCUCCUUUUACAAUCUGGGAAAUGUUUGAAAUACUGACUGAAGUAUGAAAAUAUUAAAGGUCAUUACUCCUGGUCA